rnacentral:lncRNA from 1 species
UUUCUUGACGCCCACAAUGAGGGCUUGGGGCAGCCGUUUGGUGCCUGGCUUCGGGGAGCCAGAGUGAUUGGAUCCGGAGAGGCGCGGUGCUGGAGCGGCAGCGGCGGGCGCGCUGGGAGCGCUGGGCUCACUGGGCGUCGGCCCCGGGGGAUCACACGGGCGGGACUUCGCCAGAAGUUUCUGGCCGCUUGCGCUGGGGCCGCGGAGGCAGCGCGGCGCGCCGAGCAGGCGGCUCUGGCCCAGACCGUCGCAGCAGCACAGGAAGCUGUAACACAGCAGAGCCUGCAUCUGAUUGAGGUGCCACUGACGACGGUCUUCCCUGGAUGGAGGAGGGAGCGGUGAACAGCCUCCAACGUUGAAUCACAGCCUCGAGAACACAUGAGAAAGCUUCCCAGCCAUCUCUCCAUCAGGCUAAUGAUCCAAAGAAUACUGAGGAGGCAGAAUGCUUCCCAUUAUUAGUGUCAAUCAUUAAAUCCUGGAGAAAGAGUAUGAUUUGUGCGUUAUGGGACUGUAACUCACCUCUACCACCUUGACAGUGAUUGACACCCUCAAAUCCUACACCGAGGGUUUGGGUAGUUAUCCAAAGAGAUACAGAAGUACAACGGCGCCAAAAUGAACCACGAGUCCAGGGCAGACAUGAGGAACAGCAUCUCCUACAAGCU